UGGGAUUUAAGAAUGGCUCCUAUGAUCGCA
rnacentral:piRNA from 1 species